GACGAACGCUGGCGGCGUGCUUAACACAUGCAAGUCGAACGGAAAGACCCUGCUUUUGUGGGGUGCUCGAGUGGCGAACGGGUGAGUAACACGUGAGUAACCUGCCCUUGACUUUGGGAUAACUUCAGGAAACUGGGGCUAAUACCGGAUAGGAGCUCCUGCUGCAUGGUGGGGGUUGGAAAGUUUCGGCGGUUGGGGAUGGACUCGCGGCUUAUCAGUUUGUUGGUGGGGUAGUGGCUUACCAAGGCUUUGACGGGUAGCCGGCCUGAGAGGGUGACCGGCCACAUUGGGACUGAGAUACGGCCCAGACUCCUACGGGAGGCAGCAGGGGGGAAUAUUGCACAAUGGGCGGAAGCCUGAUGCAGCAACGCCGCGUGCGGGAUGACGGCCUUCGGGUUGUAAACCGCUUUCGCCUGUGACGAAGCGUGAGUGACGGUAAUGGGUAAAGAAGCACCGGCUAACUACGUG
rnacentral:rRNA from 1 species